rnacentral:rRNA from 1 species
UACGUAGGGGGCAAGCGUUGUCCGGAAUUAUUGGGCGUAAAGCGCGCGCAGGCGGCCAUUUAAGUUUGGUGUAUAAGCCCGGGGCUCAACCCCGGACCGCACCGAAAACUGGGUGGCUUGAGUGCGGGAGAGGAAAGUGGAAUUCCACGUGUAGCGGUGAAAUGCGUAGAGAUGUGGAGGAACACCAGUGGCGAAGGCGACUUUCUGGACCGUAACUGACGCUGAGGCGCGAAAGCGUGGGGAGCAAACAGG